rnacentral:rRNA from 1 species
UAAAUCAGUAUAAGGGUAUAUGGUGGAUGCCUUGGGAGAAGUAGCCGAAGAAGGACGUAGUAGGCUGCGAAAAGCCUCGGGGAGCUGCCAAACAAGCUUUGAUCCGAGGAUGUCCGAAUUGAGAAAUCUUCCUGGUUUAAAGACCAGGAAUCUCCCGACGUGAGUCGGGUUGAAGGGCACCUGCUGAACUGAAACAUCUUAGUAAGCAGAGGAAAAGAAAUCGUAAGAGAUUCCCUUAGUAGUGGCGAGCGAACAGGGAAAAGUCCAAACCGGUUUUUACCGGGGUUGUGGGACCCAUAUAAUUGACGUGAAAGGAUAGGAGAACGAGCCUGGAAAGGACGACCAUAGCGCGUGACAGUCGCGUAUCCGAAAUCCGAGUAACAGAGAGUUGGUGUUCCCGAGUACCACGAGACACGUGAAACCUCGUGGGAAGCUGGGGUGAUCAUACUCCAAGACUAAAUACUACUUCUCACCGAUAGUGAACUAGUACCGUGAGGGAAAGGUUAAAAGAACCCCGCAAGGGGAGUGAAAUAGAACCUGAAACCAUAUACUUACAAGAAGUCGGAGCCGCCGCAUCUCAUUGCAUUCGAUGCGCAAGUUCAUCAAGUUACAAGUUCGUAAAGUUAAAAGUGCAUGGAAUAACUAUAAUAGUUAAAUACCUUGUACUUUAUAAACUUGAAAAACUUUAUAACUUUUUACUUGCAUCGAGCGUAGCGAGAUGUGGUGGUGACGGCGUGCCUUUUGUAGAAUGAGCCAACGAGUUAGCUAUGUGCGGCAAGCUUAAGGGAUAAAACCUGGAGGCGUAGUGAAAGCGAGCCUGAAUAGGGCGAUUAGUCGUACGUACUAGACCCGAAACCGAGUGAUCUAUCCAUGGCCAGGGUGAGUCCACCUUAACCGGUGUGAGGAGGCCCGAACCAGUUCACGUUACAAAGUGUUUGGAUGAGCUGUGGAUAGUGGUGAAAUGCUAAUCGAACUCGGAAAUAUCUGGUUCUCCUCGAAAUAUAUUUAGGUAUAGCCUCUGUCUCAGAGCAUGGGAGGUAGAGCACUGGAUGGGUUUCGGCGACCUCGGUUGUCGACCCCAAAUAAACUCCGAAUUCCCAUGUGUGUUGGCAGGGAGUCAGACUGUGGGGGCUAAGCUUCAUGGUCGAAAGGGAAACAGCCCGGACCAUCGUCUAAGGUCCCUAAAUUCUAGCUAAGUGGAAAAGGAAGUGGAAUCUCCUAAACAAUCAGGAGGUUGGCUUAGAAGCAGCCAUCCUUUAAAGAGUGCGUAAUAGCUCACUGAUCUAACAGAGAUUCUGCGCCGAAAAUGUAACGGGGCUCAAGCUAGAUACCGAAGACAUGGGUUCGUGCGAAGCACGAACAAGUUAAAAGUUUGUAAAGUCCAUAAAGUUAAAAGUACAAGGUAUUUAACUAUAAUAGUUAAAAUCCAAGAACUUUCGACUUUCGACUUUCGACUUUAUUGACUUGCUCGCGCUUCGCACGAGCGGUAGAGGAGCGUUCUUCGUGCGAUGAAGGUGAAUCGUGAGGUUUGCUGGAGCGCGGAGAAGUGAGAAUGUUGGCAUAAGUAACGAAUUAGCCAGGCGAGAAACCUGGCCACCGAAUAUCCGAGGUUUCCUGGGCAACGUUAAUCGUCCCAGGGUUAGUCGGCCCUAAGCCGAGGCGUAAAAGCGUAGGCGAUGGCCAGCUGGUUCAUAUUCCAGCACUCCGUGCAACUUGUUUUCUGGUGCGCGCUGUAAAGAUUCGCAGAAAAUCAUGAUUUAUUUCUGCGAGGAAUAACAGUGACAAGAAAAGCCAGAUACUUAAUGUGCAUGGAACCGUACCGCAAACCGACUCAGGUGGAUGAGGCGAGAAGCCUCAGGUGAUCGGAAGAACCCUCGUUAAGGAACUCGGCAAAUAAGCGUCUGUAACUUCGGGAUAAAGACUGCCUGCGCAUCACACUGCGUUUGAUGUGCAAGUUUAUAAAGUAAAAAGUUCCUAAAGCUCAUCAAGUGCAUGGAAAACUAUUAUAGUUAAUACCUUGUACUUUAAAAACUUUACAAACUUGAUAGACUUUUAACUUGCAUCGAGCGAAGCGAGAUGCGCAGGCCGCAGCGAAAGAGCCCAGGCGACUGUUUAACAAAAACACAGGUCUCUGCUAAAGCGAAAGCUGAAGUAUAGGGACUGACGCCUGCCCAAUGCUGGAAGGUCAAAUCCGCCGGUGAUUGCUCGAUUCGUCGUGCAUGAGCUAGCGGGCUAAGCCCCAGUGAAUGGCGGCCGUAACUAUAACGGUCCUAUGGUAGCGAAAUUCCUUGUCGGGUAAGUUCCGACCCGCACGAAUGGC